rnacentral:lncRNA from 1 species
CUCAAUGGCUAGGUGAGUAUUCCCAUGUGCUGUAAAAGAAAGUGGGCAGAAAGGAACUGAUGAUUCACACAGGGACUUGAGACAUAUGGAAGAAGGUGUUGAGGAGGCUACUGCGAUAUUUCUAAAAGAAAUCAUUUGAAUUUACCUUUUGCUUCCAUAAACCUGUAAGGUCUACAAAAAGACUGAGCCAAUUUAGGCUAGAUAUUUUGGCAUCCAAAGGGUUAAUGGCAUUAUUGCUUCAAAAGAGCCUAUUGGCUCCCCCUCAAGGAUGCCCUGCAGUUGUUGUUAGAGUCAUCAGAUGAAGCUAGCCUUCUCAGCUAGCCUUUAGAUUUGUCUGUUAACAGUAAAAAUGCUAUAAUAAAUCGGUAACAUAUGUUGCCAGGCAGGGGAAAGUGGUACAAAUAGGAGCCUGGGAGACCCAAGCCAAGUACAAUGUGAAAGAAUUCAAAUUUCAAUCUAUUCCCUGGCUAAUUACCAUUUGAAAAGUAAUUUGAAAGUGUUGUUACUUGCUUAUACUCUUCCUCAUUUUUCUUUUUUUCUCUUCAGAUUGCUUUCUUACCCAAAUUAUCUUCGUGAUUGCCUGCCUUGCGGCUUUGGGACUUCUUUAUGCAGAAAGCAUUUGUCAAAAGGAUCAGUGAAAAAGAGCCUCCCAGGAACCUUAAAAAUAGGAAUUUUGCUAGCUUGAAACAAUGCCUUUUUGGGGAAGGAACAUGAUUGCCUUAAGAGGAGCUAAAGAAAGCCAUUUGGUGAUGCUUCAUGAAUUUUCCAACUACACCCUCAAUGGUGCACAUUGCUGUGUUGCUGCAGUGAAUGUUGAGCUGUGGAGGAUGGCAUCAAAUUACCCUGUACCCAUUUUAAUGGAAAGCAGUUGAGUUCCACACAUGUGUUGACCGCCUUGCUUUGCAUAUGAAUUUUUAAAUAAACACUG